rnacentral:rRNA from 1 species
AUGCUGACAUAAGUAACGAUAAAGCGGGUGAAAAGCCCGCUCGCCGGAAGACCAAGGGUUCCUGUCCAACGUUAAUCGGGGCAGGGUGAGUCGACCCCUAAGGCGAGGCCGAAAGGCGUAGUCGAUGGGAAACGGGUUAAUAUUCCCGUACUUGGUGUUACUGCGAAGGGGGGACGGAGAAGGCUAUGUUGGCCGGGCGACGGUUGUCCCGGUUUAAGCGUGUAGGCUGGUUUUCCAGGCAAAUCCGGAAAAUCAAGGCUGAGGCGUGACGACGAGGCACUACGGUGCUGAAGCAACAAAUGCCCUGCUUCCAGGAAAAGCCUCUAAGCAUCAGGUAACAUCAAAUCGUACCCCAAACCGACACAGGUGGUCAGGUAGAGAAUACCAAGGCGCUUGAGAGAACUCGGGUGAAGGAACUAGGCAAAAUGGUGCCGUAACUUCGGGAGAAGGCACGCUGACACGUAGGUGAAGUGAUUUACUCAUGGAGCUGAAGUCAGUCGAAGAUACCAGCUGGCUGCAACUGUUUAUUAAAAACACAGCACUGUGCAAACACGAAAGUGGACGUAUACGGUGUGACGCCUGCCCGGUGCCGGAAGGUUAAUUGAUGGGGUCAGCGCAAGCGAAGCUCCUGAUCGAAGCCCCGGUAAACGGCGGCCGUAACUAUAACGGUCCUAAGGUAGCGAAAUUCCUUGUCGGGUAAGUUCCGACCUGCACGAAUGGCGUAAUGAUGGCCAGGCUGUCUCCACCCGAGACUCAGUGAAAUUGAACUCGCUGUGAAGAUGCAGUGUACCCGCGGCAAGACGGAAAGACCCCGUGAACCUUUACUAUAGCUUGACACUGAACAUUGAGCCUUGAUGUGUAGGAUAGGUGGGAGGCUUUGAAGCGUGGACGCCAGUCUGCGUGGAGCCGACCUUGAAAUACCACCCUUUAAUGUUUGAUGUUCUAACGUGGACCCGUUACCCGGGUUGCGGACAGUGUCUGGUGGGUAGUUUGACUGGGGCGGUCUCCUCCUAAAGAGUAACGGAGGAGCACGAAGGUUGGCUAAUCCUGGUCGGACAUCAGGAGGUUAGUGCAAUGGCAUAAGCCAGCUUGACUGCGAGCGUGACGGCGCGAGCAGGUGCGAAAGCAGGUCAUAGUGAUCCGGUGGUUCUGAAUGGAAGGGCCAUCGCUCAACGGAUAAAAGGUACUCCGGGGAUAACAGGCUGAUACCGCCCAAGAGUUCAUAUCGACGGCGGUGUUUGGCACCUCGAUGUCGGCUCAUCACAUCCUGGGGCUGAAGUAGGUCCCAAGGGUAUGGCUGUUCGCCAUUUAAAGUGGUACGCGAGCUGGGUUUAGAACGUCGUGAGACAGUUCGGUCCCUAUCUGCCGUGGGCGCUGGAGAACUGAGGGGGGCUGCUCCUAGUACGAGAGGACCGGAGUGGACGCAUCACUGGUGUUCGGGUUGUCAUGCCAAUGGCACUGCCCGGUAGCUAAAUGCGGAAGAGAUAAGUGCUGAAAGCAUCUAAGCACGAAACUUGCCCCGAGAUGAGUUCUCCCUGAGACUUAGAGUCUCCUGAAGGAACGUUGAAGACGACGACGUUGAUAGGCCGGGUGUGUAAGCGCAGCGAUGCGUUGAGCUAACCGGUACUAAUGAACCGUGAGGCUUAACCUUACAAC